rnacentral:rRNA from 1 species
UGGGGAAUUUUGGACAAUGGGGGCAACCCUGAUCCAGCAAUGCCGCGUGAGUGAAGAAGGCCUUCGGGUUGUAAAGCUCUUUUGUCAGGGAAGAAACGGUAGUAGCGAAUAACUAUUACUAAUGACGGUACUUGAAGAAUAAGCACCGGCUAACUACGUGCCAGCAGCCGCGGUAAUACGUAGGGUGCAAGCGUUAAUCGGAAUUACUGGGCGUAAAGCGUGCGCAGGCGGUUGUGUAAGUCAGAUGUGAAAUCCCCGGGCUCAACCUGGGAAUUGCAUUUGAGACUGCACGGCUAGAGUGUGUCAGAGGGGGGUAGAAUUCCACGUGUAGCAGUGAAAUGCGUAGAUAUGUGGAGGAAUACCGAUGGCGAAGGCAGCCCCCUGGGAUAACACUGACGCUCAUGCACGAAAGCGUGGGGAGCAAACAGGAUUAGAUACCCUGGUAGUCCCUGAGCGGGCUGGCAAGGCGCAU